GACGAACGCUGGCGGCGUGCUUAACACAUGCAAGUCGAACGGAAAGGCCCUGCUUGCGGGGUACUCGAGUGGCGAACGGGUGAGUAACACGUGGGUGAUCUGCCCUGCACUUCGGGAUAAGCCUGGGAAACUGGGUCUAAUACCGGAGAGGAGCCAUUUUUCGUGUGAUUGUUGGAAAGUUUUUUCGGUGUAGUAUGAGCUCGCGGCCUAUCUGCUUGUUGGUUGGGUAAUGGCCUACCAAAGCGGCGACGGGUAGCCAGCCUGAGGGGGUGGACGGCCACAAUGGGGCCGGGAAUCGGCCCAGGCCUCCACGGGGGGGCAGAGGGGGGGAAUUUGGAACAUGGGGCGAAAGCCGAAUGAACGACGGCGCGGUGCGGAAUGACGGCCUUGGGUUUGUAAACCGUUUCGCCCGGUGAGAAGCUUUGUGUGACGGUAAUUAGUUAAGAAGCACCGGCUAACUACGUG
rnacentral:rRNA from 1 species